rnacentral:SRP_RNA from 1 species
GCCGGGCAUGGGGGCGCAUGCCUGUAAUCCCAGCUACUCAGGAGGCUGAAGCAGGAGAAUCACUUGAACCCAGGAGGCGGAGGUUGCAGUGAGCUGAGAUCACGCCACUGCAAUCCAGCCUGGGCAACAGAAUGAGACUCUGUCUCAA